rnacentral:rRNA from 1 species
AGCGUACACGGUGGAUGCCCUGGCAGUCAGAGGCGAUGAAGGACGUGCUAAUCUGCGAUAAGCGUCGGUAAGGUGAUAUGAACCGUUAUAACCGGCGAUUUCCGAAUGGGGAAACCCAGUGUGUUUCGACACACUAUCAUUAACUGAAUCCAUAGGUUAAUGAGGCGAACCGGGGGAACUGAAACAUCUAAGUACCCCGAGGAAAAGAAAUCAACCGAGAUUCCCCCAGUAGCGGCGAGCGAACGGGGAGCAGCCCAGAGCCUGAAUCAGUGUGUGUGUUAGUGGAAGCGUCUGGAAAGGCGCGCGAUACAGGGUGACAGCCCCGUACACAAAAAUGCACAUGCUGUGAGCUCGAUGAGUAGGGCGGGACACGUGGUAUCCUGUCUGAAUAUGGGGGGACCAUCCUCCAAGGCUAAAUACUCCUGACUGACCGAUAGUGAACCAGUACCGUGAGGGAAAGGCGAAAAGAACCCCGGCGAGGGGAGUGAAAAAGAACCUGAAACCGUGUACGUACAAGCAGUGGGAGCACGCUUAGGCGUGUGACUGCGUACCUUUUGUAUAAUGGGUCAGCGACUUAUAUUCUGUAGCAAGGUUAACCGAAUAGGGGAGCCGAAGGGAAACCGAGUCUUAACUGGGCGUUAAGUUGCAGGGUAUAGACCCGAAACCCGGUGAUCUAGCCAUGGGCAGGUUGAAGGUUGGGUAACACUAACUGGAGGACCGAACCGACUAAUGUUGAAAAAUUAGCGGAUGACUUGUGGCUGGGGGUGAAAGGCCAAUCAAACCGGGAGAUAGCUGGUUCUCCCCGAAAGCUAUUUAGGUAGCGCCUCGUGAAUUCAUCUCCGGGGGUAGAGCACUGUUUCGGCAAGGGGGUCAUCCCGACUUACCAACCCGAUGCAAACUGCGAAUACCGGAGAAUGUUAUCACGGGAGACACACGGCGGGUGCUAACGUCCGUCGUGAAGAGGGAAACAACCCAGACCGCCAGCUAAGGUCCCAAAGUCAUGGUUAAGUGGGAAACGAUGUGGGAAGGCCCAGACAGCCAGGAUGUUGGCUUAGAAGCAGCCAUCAUUUAAAGAAAGCGUAAUAGCUCACUGGUCGAGUCGGCCUGCGCGGAAGAUGUAACGGGGCUAAACCAUGCACCGAAGCUGCGGCAGCGACGCUUAUGCGUUGUUGGGUAGGGGAGCGUUCUGUAAGCCUGUGAAGGUGUACUGUGAGGUAUGCUGGAGGUAUCAGAAGUGCGAAUGCUGACAUAAGUAACGAUAAAGCGGGUGAAAAGCCCGCUCGCCGGAAGACCAAGGGUUCCUGUCCAACGUUAAUCGGGGCAGGGUGAGUCGACCCCUAAGGCGAGGCCGAAAGGCGUAGUCGAUGGGAAACAGGUUAAUAUUCCUGUACUUGGUGUUACUGCGAAGGGGGGACGGAGAAGGCUAUGUUGGCCGGGCGACGGUUGUCCCGGUUUAAGCGUGUAGGCUGGUUUUCCAGGCAAAUCCGGAAAAUCAAGGCUGAGGCGUGAUGACGAGGCACUACGGUGCUGAAGCAACAAAUGCCCUGCUUCCAGGAAAAGCCUCUAAGCAUCAGGUAACAUCAAAUCGUACCCCAAACCGACACAGGUGGUCAGGUAGAGAAUACCAAGGCGCUUGAGAGAACUCGGGUGAAGGAACUAGGCAAAAUGGUGCCGUAACUUCGGGAGAAGGCACGCUGAUAUGUAGGUGAAGUGAUUUACUCAUGGAGCUGAAAUCAGUCGAAGAUACCAGCUGGCUGCAACUGUUUAUUAAAAACACAGCACUGUGCAAACACGAAAGUGGACGUAUACGGUGUGACGCCUGCCCGGUGCCGGAAGGUUAAUUGAUGGGGUCAGCGCAAGCGAAGCUCUUGAUCGAAGCCCCGGUAAACGGCGGCCGUAACUAUAACGGUCCUAAGGUAGCGAAAUUCCUUGUCGGGUAAGUUCCGACCUGCACGAAUGGCGUAAUGAUGGCCAGGCUGUCUCCACCCGAGACUCAGUGAAAUUGAACUCGCUGUGAAGAUGCAGUGUACCCGCGGCAAGACGGAAAGACCCCGUGAACCUUUACUAUAGCUUGACACUGAACAUUGAGCCUUGAUGUGUAGGAUAGGUGGGAGGCUUUGAAGUGUGGACGCCAGUCUGCAUGGAGCCGACCUUGAAAUACCACCCUUUAAUGUUUGAUGUUCUAACGUGGACCCGUAAUCCGGGUUGCGGACAGUGUCUGGUGGGUAGUUUGACUGGGGCGGUCUCCUCCUAAAGAGUAACGGAGGAGCACGAAGGUUGGCUAAUCCUGGUCGGACAUCAGGAGGUUAGUGCAAUGGCAUAAGCCAGCUUGACUGCGAGCGUGACGGCGCGAGCAGGUGCGAAAGCAGGUCAUAGUGAUCCGGUGGUUCUGAAUGGAAGGGCCAUCGCUCAACGGAUAAAAGGUACUCCGGGGAUAACAGGCUGAUACCGCCCAAGAGUUCAUAUCGACGGCGGUGUUUGGCACCUCGAUGUCGGCUCAUCACAUCCUGGGGCUGAAGUAGGUCCCAAGGGUAUGGCUGUUCGCCAUUUAAAGUGGUACGCGAGCUGGGUUUAGAACGUCGUGAGACAGUUCGGUCCCUAUCUGCCGUGGGCGCUGGAGAACUGAGGGGGGCUGCUCCUAGUACGAGAGGACCGGAGUGGACGCAUCACUGGUGUUCGGGUUGUCAUGCCAAUGGCACUGCCCGGUAGCUAAAUGCGGAAGAGAUAAGUGCUGAAAGCAUCUAAGCACGAAACUUGCCCCGAGAUGAGUUCUCCCUGACUCCUUGA